rnacentral:rRNA from 1 species
AUUGAACGCUGGCGGCAUGCCUAACACAUGCAAGUCGAACGGCAGCACAAUAUGUAGCAAUACAUAUGGGUGGCGAGUGGCGGACGGGUGCGUAAUGUGUAGGGAUCUGCCCUGAAGUGGGGGACAACCCGGGGAAACUCGGGCUAAUACCGCAUAAUACUCUACGGAGGAAAUCUGGCUACGCAAGUAGCUGGGGCUUCAGGAUGAACCUACAUCCGAUUAGCUAGUUGGUGUGGUAAUGGCUCACCAAGGCGAUGAUCGGUAGCUGGUCUGAGAGGAUGACCAGCCACACUGGGACUGAGACACGGCCCAGACUCCUACGGGAGGCAGCAGUGGGGAAUAUUGGACAAUGGGGGAAACCCUGAUCCAGCAAUGCCGCGUGGGUGAAGAAGGCCUUCGGGUUGUAAAGCCCUUUAGGCGGGGAAGAAGGUUUUAGGGUGAUAAGCCUUAAAAUUUGACGGUACCCGCAGAAUAAGCACCGGCUAACUCUGUGCCAGCCGCCGCCGUAA